CCCGUUUACAUUCUUCCUCUGGCGGAGGCGGGAGGGUCGCUUGAAGCCUCGGAUUUCGAGAUCAGCCAGGACAAAAAAGCGAGACCCCCGUUUCUACCAAAAAGGGGGGGGGGUGGGCGGGGGGAAGAGAGAGAGAGAGAGAAAGGAAAAGAAAGAGAAAGAAAAGAAAGAAAAACUAGGCGCGGUCACGUGUACGUGUAGUUCCAGCUGCUCGGAGGUUGAGGCGGGAGGAUCUCUUGAGCCCAGAAGUUCGAGGCCGCAAUGAGCUCUGAUCGUGGCAGAGCGAGGCCCUGGCUCAAAUACAUACAUACUUUGUUCUGACUUUGUGUGCCCUUACUCUUUCCUCAGGUGCACGCUUGGGCUCGUUACUGCUCAGAAUUUUAGAAUCACAGAUCCAGCAGUGAUCAGGCAGCUGCAGCUGUCAGGGACCACCACCACCUACGCGAUUGAUCCGUGGGAGAAGCCGUCCUACUCUUUUCUUUCUCCUUUGUCCUUCUCAUUCCUGACCCCUUCAGGAUUCUCAGUCUUCCCUCCGGGAGGUAGGGAUUCUACGGAGAGAGAAGGGUUGUGGGGCUUGUUCUGUUGCGGGUUCAAACCCAAAUUGUCUUUUUCUUUUCAGACUUUUGGCCAGUCUUGUCUCGCUCCAACCUCCUACCCCCACCCCAUUCCUCAGUGCAUUCGUGAAUUUCUCCAAGCAGGCCUUUCCAGAUCGACACUAAGUUCCAAUCCCGAGCUGUGUGACCCAGCACCAAUUCAGUCACGAUGAUGACUUGCAAUUGCUUAAUCAGUUGGCCUUUCCUCCUAGCUGUGAAGGUGAGGACCGCCGGUGUCAGCGUUCGUCCUGAAUACUCAGUGCCCAGGCACAGAGUAGGCAUUCAGUCAAUACUUGUUGAACGGGUUAAUGGAUUCCUGAUGUUCACUGGUUGAUAUCGUCACUUUCAAAUAAUUUCUCCCAUUUUUCUGUUUUGUUUUCACCCUCCUAGUUUACCGUGCAGGAUUGCAAACACCAGAGAGAAAAUCAGUCUCUGGAAUGAUGCCUUUGAUGGACCAAGAUGCAGCUGAUGAAGCAUUGAACCAAUUAGCACCUAGCAGGAGGGCACCCUUGCUCUGUGUCCUUGAAGGUUAAAGCUGUCAAAAAGUGGUCUCCCUCAAGUUCGGCCAUCUUGCUCUCAGAGAUCUAGAACUGGACUCAGUCAAAAUUUUGGGCCAAGGAGACCGACGCGCUGUCGCCUGCACUAAGAGAAACGCAACGAACAACUUUGUCAAUGCAUUGCAUUAUACUAUAGCAGCAACUAUACUUUUAAAUGAUUCGAAUCUUGAGGUUUCAAACUGAACCGUCUUGUGCCUUUUGCCCGGCGGGCAUUUCUGCGGGGACCGCGGGUCACCUUCUGAAUUUUUACCUUCAUAAACAGCAAGGACUGC
rnacentral:lncRNA from 1 species